rnacentral:rRNA from 1 species
GCAUAUCAAUAAGCGGAGGAAAAGAAACCAACAGGGAUUGCCUCAGUAACGGCGAGUGAAGCGGCAACAGCUCAAAUUUGAAAUCUGGCCUCUGGCCCGAGUUGUAAUUUGCAGAGGAUGUUUCUGGCGAGGUGCCUUCCGAGUUCCCUGGAACGGGACGCCAUAGAGGGUGAGAGCCCCGUACGGUUGGUCGCUAAGCCUCUGUGAAACUCCUUCGACGAGUCGAGUAGUUUGGGAAUGCUGCUCUAAAUGGGAGGUGUACGCCUUCUUAAGCUAAAUACCGGCUAGAGACCGAUAGCGCACAAGUAGAGUGAUCGAAAGAUGAAAAGCACUUUGAAAAGAGGGUUAAAAAGUACGUGAAAUUGUUGAAAGGGAAGCGCUCUUGACCAGACUUGCGCCGGUUGAUCAUCCGCCGUUCUCGGUGGUGCACUCUGCCGGCUCAGGCCAGCAUCAGUUCGGUCCGGGGGAUAAAGGCUUCGGGAAUGUGGCUCUCUCCGGGGAGUGUUAUAGCCCGUUGCGUAAUACCCUGGGCUGGACUGAGGUUCGCGCAUCUGCAUGGAUGCUGGCGUAAUGGUUAUCAGUGACCCGUCUUGAAACACGGACCAAGGAGUCGUCUUCGUAUGCGAGUGUUCGGGUGUCAAACCCCUACGCGUAAUGAAAGUGAACGUAGGAGAGAGCUUCGGCGCAUCUCCGACCGAUCCUGAUGUUCUCGGAUGGAUUUGAGUAAGAGCAUACGGGGCCGGACCCGAAAGAAGGUGAACUAUGCCUGUAUAGGGUGAAGCCAGAGGAAACUCUGGUGGAGGCUCGCAGCGGUUCUGACGUGCAAAUCGAUCGUCAAAUAUGGGCAUGGGGGCGAAAGACUAAUCGAACCUUCUAGUAGCUGGUUUCCGCCGA